CCUACGGGAGGCAGCAGUGAGGAAUAUUGGUCAAUGGUCGGGAGACUGAACCAGCCAAGCCGCGUGAGGGAUGAAGGUAUAGAGAAUCGUAAACCUCUUUUGUCAGGGAACAAAGGCGGGGACGUGUCCAGGGAUGAGUGUACCUGAAGAAAAAGCAUCGGCUAACUACGUGCCAGCAGCCGCGGUAAGAAGGAGGAUGCGAGCGUUAUCCGGAUUUAAUGGGGGUAAAGGGCGCGCAGGCGGGCCUGUAAGUCAGCGGUUAAACGCCCGGGCUUAACCCCGGACCCGCCGUUGAAACUGGCAGUCUGGAGUUGGAGAGAGGUAUGCGGAAUGCGCGGUGUAGCGGUGAAAUGCAUAGAUAUCG
rnacentral:rRNA from 1 species